GUCGCCCACAGCCCCAGGAAUCUGCAUUUUAAAUAAUCACCCAGCCUUCCUCUAGGCCUCGCCUCUUCCAGCUCUGCUCCCAAGGAACAUUUCAGAGAAGGACAAUCACUAAAGAGAAAGGCCGAAACUUGAAAUGAUAUUAAUGCUGCUCUCUCUCUUACACAUGGUACAACUCUGUGACGAAGAGACAGGAACGAGAACAGAGGAUGAAGAAAACUAUUCUAGAAUAAAAAUAUAUGAAAAGAA